UUUUGUUUUUCAGUUUAACUCAUGGAUGGCAUUGUGUCUCAGGGCUCUUUUGAUCACUGAAAACAAUCUCGGACACCUGUGAUAAUUAGAUUGCCAGGUGAGCCCAAUUUAAGGAAAAACUACUAAUGGAGGGUGUUCCACAUUAUUAAGCAGAGCACCAUUUUCAUGCAAUAUGGGGAAGAAAAAGAAUAUCUCUGCUGCCGAAAAGAGUGAAAUAGUUCAAUGCCUUGGACGAG